rnacentral:rRNA from 1 species
UACAGAGGGUGCGAGCGUUAAUCGGAAUUACUGGGCGUAAAGCGUGCGUAGACGGUUAUUUAAGUCGGAUGUGAAAGCCCCGGGCUCAACCUGGGAAUUGCAUUCGAGACUGAAUAGCUAGGGUGCGGUAGAGGGAAGCGGAAUUUCCGGUGUAGCGGGUGAAAUGCGUAGAUAAUCGGAAGGAACAUCAGUGGCGAAAGCGGCUUCCUGGAC